UCCUUCCUGUAAGAAAAAUUGUCAUUCCAGGCUAACUUCAAAUAAUGCCUUUCUGCCUUAACAAAUUUCAAUCCAGACUAUAACACAAUGGAGUAUUUAUCUUGACUAAAAUGGCCCCAUAUCUGUGCUUGAGUGUCAGUCUUUGUCACAUCAGUGUGAUAGCACUAAGUGUUUAGCUUGAAUAAAGUGGUUCCCCGUCCUUUGAUAAUACAACCAAAAUCAAAAUUUAAAUAAAUC
rnacentral:lncRNA from 1 species